GCAGCCGUGGCGCACUGGUUAGCGCUUAGGACUUGUAACCAGAAUGUUGCUGGUUCUGAACCCGACCAGUGGCA
rnacentral:tRNA from 1 species